rnacentral:misc_RNA from 1 species
GAUGAAGAACGUAGCGAAAUGCGAUAAGUAAUGUGAAUUGCAGAAUUCAGUGAAUCAUCGAAUCUUUGAACGCGCAUUGCGCCCCCUGGUAUUCCGGGGGGCAUGCCUGUUCGAGCGUCAUUUCACCACUCAAGCCUCGCUUGGUAUUGGGCAUCGCGGUCCGCCGCGUGCCUCAAAUCGACCGGCUGGGUCUUCUGUCCCCUAAGCGUUGUGGAAACUAUUCGCUAAAGGGUGUUCGGGAGGCUACGCCGUAAAACAACCCCAUUUCUAAGGUUGACCUCGGAUCAGGUAGGGAUACCCGCUGAACUUAAGCAUAUCAAUAAGCGGAGGA